rnacentral:rRNA from 1 species
CCAGUUUUGCUCCAAGGACCAAUCGGGCGGUGCCUUAGAGCCACAAGUGAUUGAGCCAUGCCGCCUAGAAAAGCUUCUAAGCGUUGAUAUUUGAGUGACCGUACCGCAAACCGACACUGGUAGGUGGGUAGAAUAUACCAAGGGUAGCGAGAGAACCCUCGUUAAGGAAUUAGGCAAAUUUCCCCCGUACGUUCGCAAUAAGGGGGGCCUCUGGUGGUGAGCUUAAUCGCAAAGCUGCUGGAGGCCGCAGAGAAAUGGCUCUUCCAACUGUUUAACAAAAACACAGGUCUCUGCUAAGUCGAAAGACGAAGUAUAGGGGCUGACGCCUGCCCAGUGCUGGAAGGUUAAGGGGAGAGGUUAGGCGCAAGCCGAAGCUUUGAGCCGAAGCCCCAGUGAACGGCGGCCGUAACAAUAACGGUCCUAAGGUAGCGAAAUUCCUUGUCGGGUAAGAUCCGACCCGCACGAAUGGCGUAAUGAGAGGAGCACUGUCUCAACGAGGGACUCGGCGAACAUUGAAGGACGUGUGAAGAUACACGUGACCCGCAGCGGGACAAAAAGACCCCGUGAAGCUUUACUACAACUUGCCAUUGAGUUAGGGCUAAACCCGUGUAGUAUAGGUGGGAGGCUUUGAAGCUGGGACGCCAGUCUCGGUGGAGCCACCGUUGAAAUACCACCCUGGUUUAUUCUUGGCUCUAACCUGUCGCCGUUAUCCGGCAUGGGAACAGUGGCUGGUGGGUAGUUUGACUGGGGCGGUCGCCUCCGAAAGCGUAACAGAGGCGCCCAAAGGUUCCCUCAGGCUGAAUGGAAACCAGCCGUUGAGUGUAAAGGCACAAGGGAGCUUGACUGCAAGACCAACAAGUCGCGCAGGGACGAAAGUCGGGCUUAGUGAUCCCACGGUUCAGAGUGGAAUGGCCGUGGCUUACCGGAUAAAAGCUACUCCGGGGAUAACAGGGUAGUCUGGUCCAAGAGUUCAUAUCAACGACCAGGUUCGCCACCUCGAUGUCGGCUCAUCACAUCCUGGGGCUGGAUAAGGUCCCAAGGGUUGGGCUGUUCGCCCAUUAAAGUGGUACGUGAGCUGGGUUCAGACCGUCGUGAGACAGGUCGGUCUCUAUCCGCUGUGGGCGUAAGGGAUUUGAGAGAAGCUGCCCCUAGUACGAGAGGACCGGGGUGGACGGACCUCUAGUGUGCCAGUUGUUCUGCCAAGAGCAUUGCUGGGUAGCUACGUCCGGCAGAGAUAACCGCUGUAAGCAUCUAAGUGGGAAACUCGUCUCAAGAUUAGAUCCCUCAUCCGUAUGGAGUAAGACCGCUAGAAGACUACUAGUUUGAUAGGCGGCAGGUGUAAGCGCAGUAAUGUGUUCAGCUUAGCCGUACUAAUGGUCGAGGGCUUACGUUU